AUGGCCGCCUCCUUUCAGUUCGCGCCGCUGCUGUCGGUUGCCCUCGCCGAUGCGUUCCCGGUUGCCCCGUUGCCAGCAUCUCCCAUCCACGACGCUCCCCUCUGCUCGUCUUCUUGCUACCCCCUGCAAGCCUGCGUCGCCAUGGUCCAUGGCGUCGACACCGGUGAACUCCUCGCCCCCCGACGACUCUCCAUGUCUCCUCCAUCUCCGCGCAUGCCUCCCGCCUCGCUGCCACCACAUCGCUGCCGAUAA
rnacentral:rRNA from 1 species